rnacentral:rRNA from 1 species
AACCGUAUAGUUUGAUCCUGGCUCAGAUUGAACGCUGGCGGCAGGCUUAACACAUGCAAGUCGAGCGGGGGAAGGUAGCUUGCUACCGGACCUAGCGGCGGACGGGUGAGUAAUGCUUAGGAAUCUGCCUAUUAGUGGGGGACAACAUCUCGAAAGGGAUGCUAAUACCGCAUACGUCCUACGGGAGAAAGCAGGGGAUCUUCGGACCUUGCGCUAAUAGAUGAGCCUAAGUCGGAUUAGCUAGUUGGUGGGGUAAAGGCCUACCAAGGCGACGAUCUGUAGCGGGUCUGAGAGGAUGAUCCGCCACACUGGGAAUGAGACACGGCCCAGACUCGUACGGGAGGCAGCAGUGGGGAAUAUUGGACAAUGGGCGCAAGCCUGAUCCAGCCAUGCCGCGUGUGUGAAGAAGGCCUUAUGGUUGUAAAGCACUUUAAGCGAGGAGGAGGCUACUUUAGAUAAUACCUAGAGAUAGUGGACGUUACUCGCAGAAUAAGCACCGGCUAACUCUGUGCCAGCAGCCGCGGUAAUACAGAGGGUGCAAGCGUUAAUCGGAUUUACUGGGCGUAAAGCGCGCGUAGGCGGCUAAUUAAGUCAAAUGUGAAAUCCCCGAGCUUAACUUGGGAAUUGCAUUCGAUACUGGUUAGCUAGAGUGUGGGAGAGGAUGGUAGAAUUCCAGGUGUAGCGGUGAAAUGCGUAGAGAUCUGGAGGAAUACCGAUGGCGAAGGCAGCCAUCUGGCCUAACACUGACGCUGAGGUGCGAAAGCAUGGGGAGCAAACAGGAUUAGAUACCCUGGUAGUCCAUGCCGUAAACGAUGUCUACUAGCCGUUGGGGCCUUUGAGGCUUUAGUGGCGCAGCUAACGCGAUAAGUAGACCGCCUGGGGAGUACGGUCGCAAGACUAAAACUCAAAUGAAUUGACGGGGGCCCGCACAAGCGGUGGAGCAUGUGGUUUAAUUCGAUGCAACGCGAAGAACCUUACCUGGCCUUGACAUAGUAAGAACUUUCCAGAGAUGGAUUGGUGCCUUCGGGAACUUACAUACAGGUGCUGCAUGGCUGUCGUCAGCUCGUGUCGUGAGAUGUUGGGUUAAGUCCCGCAACGAGCGCAACCCUUUUCCUUAUUUGCCAGCGAGUAAUGUCGGGAACUUUAAGGAUACUGCCAGUGACAAACUGGAGGAAGGCGGGGACGACGUCAAGUCAUCAUGGCCCUUACGGCCAGGGCUACACACGUGCUACAAUGGUCGGUACAAAGGGUUGCUACACAGCGAUGUGAUGCUAAUCUCAAAAAGCCGAUCGUAGUCCGGAUUGGAGUCUGCAACUCGACUCCAUGAAGUCGGAAUCGCUAGUAAUCGCGGAUCAGAAUGCCGCGGUGAAUACGUUCCCGGGCCUUGUACACACCGCCCGUCACACCAUGGGAGUUUGUUGCACCAGAAGUAGCUAGCCUAACUGCAAAGAGGGCGGUUACCACGGUGUGGCCGAUGACUGGGGUGAAGUCGUAACGAGGUAACCGCCCUCUUGG